AGAGGCACCGCCUGCCCAGUGACAUGCGCUUAACGGCCGCGGUACCCUAACCGUGCA
rnacentral:miRNA from 1 species